CCUACGUGCGGCAGCAGUGGGGAAUAUUGGACAAUGGGCGAAAGCCUGAUCCAGCCAUGCCGCGUGUGUGAAGAAGGCCUUCGGGUUGUAAAGCACUUUCAGUGGGGAAGAAAGCCUUGGGGCUAAUACCCUCGAGGAAGGACAUCACCCACAGAAGAAGCACCGGCUAACUCCGUGCCAGCAGCCGCGGUAAUACGGAGGGUGCGAGCGUUAAUCGGAAUUACUGGGCGUAAAGCGCGCGUAGGCGGUCUGAUAAGCCGGUUGUGAAAGCCCCGGGCUCACCCUGGGAACGGCAUCCGGAACUGUCAGGCUAGAGUGCAGGAGAGGAAGGUAGAAUUCCCGGUGUAGCGGUGAAAUGCGUAGAGAUCGGGAGGAAUACCAGUGGCGAAGGCGGCCUUCUGGACUGACACUGACGCUGAGGUGCGAAAGCGUGGGUAGCAAACAGGAUUAGAUACCCCGGUAGUC
rnacentral:rRNA from 1 species